rnacentral:rRNA from 1 species
GACGAAGGAUGCAAGCGUUAUCCGGAUUCAUUGGGUUUAAAGGGCGCGUAGGUGGCCUUAUAAGUCAGUGGUGAAAUCUCGCAGCUUAACUGCGAAAUUGCCAUUGAUACUGUAGGGCUUGAGUAUAGUUGCCGUUGGCGGAAUAUGACAUGUAGUGGUGAAAUACAUAGAGAUGUCAUAGAACACCGAUUGCGAAGGCAGCUGACGAAACUAUAACUGACACUGAGGCUCGAAAGUGCGGGGAUCAAACAGG